UUUGGCUGACCAACAACAACUACUCCAUCUGAAGGCUGAGCAGCUGCAUCAGAGCUCCUUGGCAGAGUCUGCUACCGCUGUGGAGGAAGACUACUCCUCGCACAGAGAUGGAAACAACAGGAUAUUCCAACAACUGAAGAAUGGCAACAGAAAGUAUUGAAGUAUGUGGAAAUAGCAAGGCUAACUGGAAGAAUCCGACAGCAGGACGAUGAGAAAUUAAAAAAAGAAUGGUCCAAAUUUAUGG